rnacentral:rRNA from 1 species
UACGUAGGGUGCAAGCGUUAAUCGGAAUUACUGGGCGUAAAGCGUGCGCAGGCGGUUCUAUAAGACAGAUGUGAAAUCCCCGGGCUCAACCUGGGAACUGCAUUUGUGACUGUAGAGCUGGAGUACGGCAGAGGGGGAUGGAAUUCCGCGUGUAGCAGUGAAAUGCGUAGAUAUGCGGAGGAACACCGAUGGUGAAGGCAAUCCCCUGGGCCUGUACUGACGCUCAUGCACGAAAGCGUGGGGAGCAAACAGG